AAUGGGUCAGCGACUUAUAUUCUGUAGCAAGGUUAACCGAAUAGGGGAGCCGAAGGGAAACCGAGUCUUAACUGGGCGUUAAGUUGCAGGGUAUAGACCCGAAACCCGGUGAUCUAGCCAUGGGCAGGUUGAAGGUUGGGUAACACUAACUGGAGGACCGAACCGACUAAUGUUGAAAAAUUAGCGGAUGACUUGUGGCUGGGGGUGAAAGGCCAAUCAAACCGGGAGAUAGCUGGUUCUCCCCGAAAGCUAUUUAGGUAGCGCCUCGUGAAUUCAUCUCCGGGGGUAGAGCACUGUUUCGGCAAGGGGGUCAUCCCGACUUACCAACCCGAUGCAAACUGCGAAUACCGGAGAAUGUUAUCACGGGAGACACACGGCGGGUGCUAACGUCCGUCG
rnacentral:rRNA from 1 species